UAGCCUUGACGUUGAUUGAACACUUUAGAGAUAGAGUGGUGCCCUUCGGGGAACAUGAAAACAGGUGCUGCACGGCUGUCGUCAGCUCGUGUCGUGAGAUGUUGGGUUAAGUCCCGCAACGAGCGCAACCCUCGUCUUUAGUUGCCAGCAGGUUAAGCUGGGCACUCUAAAGAGACUGCCUUCGCAAGGAGGAGGAAGGUGAGGACGACGUCAAGUCAUCAUGGCCCUUAUGGCUAGGGCUACACACGUGCUACAAUGGGGCGUACAGAGAGUUGCGAUACCGCGAGGUGGAGCCAAUCUCAUAAAGCGUCUCUCAGUUCGGAUUGGAGUCUGCAACUCGACUCCAUGAAGC
rnacentral:rRNA from 1 species